GACGAACGCUGGCGGCGUGCUUAACACAUGCAAGUCGAACGGAAAGGCCCUGCUUUUGUGGGGUGCUCGAGUGGCGAACGGGUGAGUAACACGUGAGUAACCUGCCCUUGCCUUUGGGAUAACUUCAGGAAACUGGGGCUAAUACCGGAUAGGAGCUCCUGCUGCAGGGUGGGGGUUGGAAAGUUUCGGCGGUUGGGGAUGGACUCGCGGCUUAUUAGCUUGUUGGUGGGGUAGUGGCUUACCAAGGCUUUGACGGGUAGCCGGCCUGGGAGGGUGACCGGCCACGUUGGGACUGAGAUACGGCCCAGACUCCUACGGGAGGCAGGAGUGGGGUAUAGUGCACUAGGGGCGGAAGCCUGAUGCAGCAACGCCGCGUGCGGGAUGACGGCCUUCGGGUUGUAAACCGCUUUCGCCUGUGACGAGGCGUGAGUGACGGUAAUGGGUAAAGAAGCACCGGCUAACUACGUG
rnacentral:rRNA from 1 species